ACCGGGUGCCCUCAUUAUUUAAUCACUUUCAAAAGGCCAUAUAUUUUCAUAUUCUUGCACUCGGAAGUGUCAACAUGAAUUCUGAGGAGGACAUAAUCAUUCCAACUACAACACUACUUUUGAAUCAUCAUCUGAAAAUUUGAAGAUUUCACAAAUAGGACUUCUCAAAUGAUUCAUGGCCUAAUGAAAUAGUGAAAAAUGAACCCUGUCAAAGUUAUGAAGUGAGGUCUAUGGCUCCACUCUGCUGUCUUCACCAUCCUGGAAACCAAGCUGUGAGAGUUUUG